UACGUAGGGUGCGAGCGUUGUCCGGAAUUAUUGGGCGUAAAGGGCUCGUAGGCGGUUUGUCGCGUCGGGAGUGAAAACCCAGGGCUUAACCCUGGGCUGGCUUUCGAUACGGGCAGACUAGAGGUAUGCAGGGGAGAACGGAAUUCCUGGUGUAGCGGUGGAAUGCGCAGAUAUCAGGAGGAACACCGAUGGCGAAGGCAGGUCUCUGGGCCACUACUGACGCUGAGAAGCGAAAGCAUGGGGAGCGAACAGG
rnacentral:rRNA from 1 species